rnacentral:rRNA from 1 species
AUCCUGGCUCAGGAUGAACGCUGGCGGCGUGCCUAACACAUGCAAGUCGAACGAAGCAUAUAGGACGGAGAUUCGUCGAAGACUUAUAUGACUUAGUGGCGGACGGGUGAGUAAUGUAUGAGCAACCUGCCUUUCAGAGGGGGACAACAGUUGGAAACGACUGCUAAUACCGCGUAAUGUAUCAUGGGGGCAUCCCUGAGAUACCAAAGGAGCAAUCCGCUGAAAGAUGGGCUCAUAUCUGAUUAGCUUGUUGGCGGGGUAACGGGCCCACCAAGGCGACGAUCAGUAGCCGGACUGAGAGGUUGAACGGCCACAUUGGGACUGAGAUACGGCCCAGACUCCUACGGGAGGCAGCAGUGGGGAAUAUUGGGCAAUGGGCGAAAGCCUGACCCAGCAACGCCGCGUGAAGGAAGAAGGUCUUCGGAUUGUAAACUUCUUUAUGAGGGACGAAGGACGUGACGGUACCUCAUGAAUAAGCCACGGCUAACUACGUGCC